UACGGAGGGUGCAAGCGUUAAUCGGAAUUACUGGGCGUAGAGCGUGCGUAGACGGCUAUCUAAGUCGGGUGUGAAAGCCCCGGGCUCAACCUGGGAAUUGCAUUCGAGACUGAAUAGCUAGGGUACGGUAGAGGGAAGUGGAAUUUCCGGUGUAGCGGUGAAAUGCGUAGAUAUCGGAAGGAACAUCAGUGGCGAAAGCGACUUCCUGGACCAGUACCGACGUUCAGGCACGAAAGCGUGGGGAGCAAACAGG
rnacentral:rRNA from 1 species